GGUGAGAAACCCCUAGAGAAUCUGCCUCCAGGUCGGGGACAACAGUGGGAAACUGCUGCUAAUACCCGAUGUGCCCAAGGGUGAAAGAUUAAUUGCCGGGAGAUGAGCUCGCGUCCGAUAAGCUAGUUGGUAGAGUAAAAGCCUACCAAGGCUCCGAUCGGGUAGCUGGUNUGAGAGGAUGAGCAGUCACACUGGGAUGAGACACGGCCCAGAUCCUACGGGAGGCAGCAGUGGGGAAUUUUCCGCAAUGGGCGAAAGCCUGACGGAGCAAGACCGCGUGGGGGAUGAAGGCUCUUGGGUUGUAGACCCCUUUUCUCAGGGAAGAAGAACUGACGGUACCUGAGGAAUAAGCAUCGGCUAACUCCGUGCCAGCAGCCGCGGUAAGACGGAGGAUGCAAGCGUUAUCCGGAAUUAUUGGGCGUAAAGCGUUCGUAGGUGGCUGUUCAAGUCUGCCGUUAAAGACCGGGGCUUAACUCCGGAAAAACUGUGGAAACUGAACAGCUAGAGUAUGGUAGGGGUAAGGGGAAUUCCUGGUGUAGCGGUGAAAUGCGUAGAUAUCAGGAAGAACACCGGUGGCGAAGGCGCCUUACUGGGCCAUAACUGACACUGAGGGACGAAAGCUAGGGGAGCGAAAGGGAUUAGAUACCCCAGUAGUCCUAGCNGUAAAC
rnacentral:rRNA from 1 species